CUUUUUCCGGACACAGGCUAGAGAUCACUUCCCACACCUCCUUCUCCACUGGCCUCCGCGCCAUCCAAAGAUUCAUCUCCUCUGCCACUAGUUUCGGGAACCAUCUCAGAGGGUUUUCGGUGCUACUAUUCAAAGAAUGUCUUUCACGAAACAAUUCUUUAAAAUAAGCAACUCCUUCCUUCUCCAAUUGAUCCCUUGUUACUAAUGGAUUCCCUUGAUCAUCUAAGUUACACAACAUAGAAUUCCUCAGGCUCCGGUCCUUGGUUUUCUGGCUAAAAAAUCUAGUGUUAGAGUCACCCAACUUCAGCCAAUUCACUCUUGAACAUUGCCUAAGCUCUAGUUCCUCCCUUUCAAGCAGAUCCCGAAGUGUUAACUUCUCUUCAACCAGCUUUUGUUGUAACUCGUGGCUAUCUGGGUCCUCUGUUAAUUUCAAAACAUUCUCUCCUAUUGAUUUUCUGAUGAAUUCGAUUUGGUUUUUCAAUGAAGCCUGCCC
rnacentral:lncRNA from 1 species